rnacentral:rRNA from 1 species
GAUGAACGCUGGCGGCGUGCCUAAUACAUGCAAGUCGAGCGAACAGACGAGGAGCUUGCUCCUCUGACGUUAGCGGCGGACGGGUGAGUAACACGUGGAUAACCUACCUAUAAGACUGGGAUAACUUCGGGAAACCGGAGCUAAUACCGGAUAAUAUAUUGAACCGCAUGGUUCAAUAGUGAAAGACGGUUUUGCUGUCACUUAUAGAUGGAUCCGCGCCGCAUUAGCUAGUUGGUAAGGUAACGGCUUACCAAGGCAACGAUGGGUAGCCGACCUGAGAGGGUGAACGGCCAACAUGGAACUUAGAAACGGGCCCGAAUCCUAAGGGAAGGAACAGUAAGGAAUCUUCCGGAAAGGGCGGAAACCUGAACGAACAAAGCCGCGUGAGUGGUGGAAGUCUUCGGAUCGUAAAACCUUUUUAUUAGGGAAGAAAAAAAGGGGAAGGAAAUAAGCACGUUUUGAAGGUAACUAAUCCAAAAGGCACGGCUAACUACGUG